rnacentral:rRNA from 1 species
AAUUUUCUAAAGCGUUAUUAAAAUUUUAUUUUGAAUUUAUAUUGUUGUUGAAAAUAACAACUUUUUCUUUAAGACUAAAAGACCCUAAAAUUUUAAUAAUUGAGAAAUUAUUUGGUUGGGGAAAUAAUUUAAUUAAAAUGUU